GUGAGAUUUCUUAUGGCUUGACUGGUGUGUGUAUUUGUGUUUAGCAAUGUAUUAACUAUCCACUUACUUCAGAUGGAAAAUUUUUCAUCUACAAUUUUUUUCCCCACCACAACUCUAUAUAUAAAUAUAAAAUAAUGUAGGUUUGUGUAUGAAGAGGAGCUCCUGAAAUGUUCAAUGUAAUGUUGUGAUGUCAUUUAACUGAGCCUUUGUCAAGCUGGGGUGAUAGACCACACAAAAAACGUUGUGAACCAAAUUAAUUUUCAUUUACUAUAGUUAAUUUUACUCUUUUAAGCACUAUUAAAGCAUUAAAAUUUCAGACAGUUAUUUCAUUAAUUCUGUAGAACUAUAAUCCAUGGCCAUCUAACAUGUACUUAAAGGCACACUCCAGACCCCUAAAGCACUUUAGCUUGCUGAAAUGCAUUAUGUGUGAAUACUGCAUCCUCUUGUUAUCAUUUUACAAAACGUGGAGAUUUCAAUAGACAUUGGCACUUUUAUAAAAGAACCUUCUUACAUCCCCUUGUCUAUUAAUCAGACAUCAGGUCCUGUUACUUCCUGUUUUCGUUAGCUCAGUCGAGCUAGUCUCAAGAGGCAGCAAUUGCUCAGAGCACCUGCCUUGCAAGCACUUCUGAUUGAGCUGCAUUGGGAAGUCUGUGAUUGGACAGCCACAGAAAGUCUGGGCGGGGUUAGAAGGGGGCUUGCAAAGACUGCAGGCAAAUGAUCUACAGCUUUUACCGACUGUUUUAGAUAUACCUCCAAUUAAAAAAAAUUAUUAUUUUUUUUUAUAUUUGGGCAGUGGAGUGUCCAUUUAAAACAAAAUACAUAUAAAUAGUAGUUUAUUCGAGAAUGCUUGUUUUGUAAUUACAACUUACAUUAUAAAGUUUUACAAGUGCAUUUGG